rnacentral:rRNA from 1 species
GACCUCGGAUCAGGUAGGGAUACCCGCUGAACUUAAGCAUUUAGCGGGAGGAGUAAA